rnacentral:rRNA from 1 species
GUAGGUUGCAAGCGUUGUCCGGAUUUACUGGGUGUAAAGGGCGUGUAGGCGGAGGCGCAAGUUGGGAGUGAAAUCUAUGGGCUCAACCCAUAAACUGCUCUCAAAACUGUGCCCCUUGAGUAUCGGAGAGGCAAGCGGAAUUCCUAGUGUAGCGGUGAAAUGCGUAGAUAUUAGGAGGAACACCAGUGGCGAAGGCGGCUUGCUGGACGACAACUGACGCUGAGGCGCGAAAGCGUGGGGAGCAAA